GUAGGAGCAAAGCUUGCUCGCGAUGGCGGCGUGUCAUUCAACGGAUAUGUUGGAUGGUCCGGCGCUAUCGCGAGCAAGCUUUGCUCCUAC
rnacentral:antisense_RNA from 1 species